rnacentral:rRNA from 1 species
AACGAACGCUGGCGGCAUGCCUAACACAUGCAAGUCGAACGAGACCUUCGGGUCUAGUGGCGCACGGGUGCGUAACGCGUGGGAAUCUGCCCUUGGGUACGGAAUAACAGCGAGAAAUUGCUGCUAAUACCGUAUAAUGACGUAAGUCCAAAGAUUUAUCGCCCAGGGAUGAGCCCGCGUAGGGUUAGCUUGUUGGUGAGGUAAAAGCUCACCAAGGCGACGAUCCUUAGCUGGCUGAGAGGAUGAUCAGCCACACUGGGACUGAGACACGGCCCAGACUCCUACGGGAGGCAGCAGUGGGGAAUAUUGGACAAUGGGCAAAGCCUGAUCCAGCAAUGCCGCGUGAGUGAUGAAGGCCUUAGGGUU